AUUGAACGCUGGCGGAAUGCUUUACACAUGCAAGUCGAACGGUAGAGGGGGCAACCCCUCGAGAGUGGCGAACGGGUGAGUAAUAUAUCGGAACGUGCCCAGUCGUGGGGGAUAACGUAGCGAAAGUUACGCUAAUACCGCAUACGAUCUACGGAUGAAAGCGGGGGACCGUAAGGCCUCGCGCGAUUGGAGCGGCCGAUGUCAGAUUAGGUAGUUGGUGAGGUAAGGGCUCACCAAGCCGACGAUCUGUAGCUGGUCUGAGAGGACGACCAGCCACACUGGGACUGUGACCCGGCCCAGACUCCUACGGGAGGCAGCAGUGGGGAAUUUGGGACAAUGGGCGCAAGCCUGAUCCAGCCAUUCCGCGUGCAGGACGAAGGCCUUCGGGUUGUAAACUGCUUUUGUACGGAACGAAAAGGCUCUGGUUAAUACCUGGGGCUCAUGACGGUACCGUAAGAGUAAGCACCGGCUAACUACGUGCCAGCCGCCGCAGUAA
rnacentral:rRNA from 1 species